rnacentral:rRNA from 1 species
CCUACGGGUGGCAGCAGUGGGGGAUAUUGCACAAUGGGGGAAACCCUGAUGCAGCGACGCCGCGUGGGCGAAGAAGUAUUUCGGUAUGUAAAGCCCUAUCAGCAGGGAAGAAGCAAUGCCGGUACCUGCGUAAAAAGCACCGGCAAAAUACGUGCCAGCAGCCGCGGUAAUACGUAGGGUGCAAGCGUUAUCCGGAUUUACUGGGUGUAAAGGGAGCGCAGGCGGCAAGGCAAGCCUGGUGUGAAAGCCGGGGGCCCAACCGCGGGACUGCAUUGGGAACUACCGGGCUGGAGUGCGGGAGAGGUAGGCGGAAUUCCUGGUGUAGCGGUGAAAUGCGUAGAUAUUAGGAGGAACACCAGUGGCGAAGGCGGCCUACUGGACGGUGACUGACGCUGAGGCUCGAAAGCGUGGGGAGCGAACAGGAUUAGAUACCCGAGUAGUC